UAUUGGUCAAUGGACGAGAGUCUGAACCAGCCAAGUAGCGUGAAGGAUGACUGCCCUAUGGGNUGUAAACUUCUUUUAUAUGGGANNCANNNANGGUAUGCAUACCCUCUUGUAUGUACCAUAUGAAUAANNNANGNCUAACUCCGUGCCAGCAGCCGCGGUAAUACGGAGGAUCCGAGCGUAUCCGGAUUUAUUGGGUUUAAAGGGAGCGUAGGCGGGUUGUUAAGUCAGUUGUGAAAGUUUGCGGCUCAACCGUAAAAUUGCAGUUGAUACUGGCAUCCUUGAGUACAGUAGAGGUAGGCGGAAUUCGUGGUGUAGCGGUGAAAUGCUUAGAUAUCACGAAGAACUCCGAUUGCGAAGGCAGCCUGCUGGACUGUAACUGACGCUGAUGCUCGAAAGUGUGGGUAUCAAACAG
rnacentral:rRNA from 1 species